rnacentral:misc_RNA from 1 species
GAUGAAGAACGUAGCGAAAUGCGAUACUUGGUGUGAAUUGCAGAAUCCCGUGAACCAUCGAGUCUUUGAACGCAAGUUGCGCCCGAAGCCAUUAGGCCGAGGGCACGCCUGCCUGGGCGUCACACGUCGUUGCCCCCCCAUCUACUCCUUCGGGAUUGCGGGGGGCGGAUGGUGGCCUCCCGUGCGCCUCGCCGCGCGGUUGGCAUAAAUGCCAAGUCCUCGGCGACGCACGCCACGACAAUCGGUGGUUGCGAAACCUCGGUUGCCCGUCGUGUGCGGUCGUCGCGCAUCGAGGGCUCGAAAAAAUUGCCGAGUUCCGGCUCGGCUUUCAACGCGACCCCAGGUCAGGCGGGGUUACCCGCUGAAUUUAAGCAUAUCAAUAAGCGGAGGA